CCCUCCCCUGCCUCCCCUCACGGCCCCCGCACCGCCCGUCCCCAGCGGCUGCCACAGCCGGAGCCCACUCACCCGCUGCCGCCGUGUCGCUGCUGGGGUCGUCGCGCAGCUGCGUCCCGGUGAGGCGGCGGAUGCCGGAGCUGCCCGCCUCCUCCAGGGCUGAGAAGGAGAGGGCGAGGCCCAAAGGUCACCUGCUCCAGUUGCUUCAGAGCAUCGCUUGUCUGGAAAACAGGAGAAAAAACAAGCGAAGAAUCUCCAUGGCAGAACUGGAAGAACAGUUUUGUUCCCUUCUGUUUUCUCAAGAAGACAAUUUUCAAGGUAAGACUGCCGUGUAA
rnacentral:lncRNA from 1 species